rnacentral:tRNA from 1 species
UGGGGCGUCGCCAAGUUGGUAAGGCAACGGACUUUGACUCCGUCAUUCGUUGGUUCGAGUCCAGCCGCCCCAGCCA